rfam:Schistosoma margrebowiei strain Zambia genome assembly, scaffold: SMRZ_scaffold0001063
AUCCAGCUGACAAGUCACAAAUAGGACGAAACGCGCGCCCUGUAU